rnacentral:rRNA from 1 species
UACGUAGGGUGCAGGCGUUACUCGGAAUUACUGGGCGUAAAGAGCUCGUAGGCGGUCUGUUGCGUCGGUUGUGAAAACCUGGGGCUCAACUCCAGGCCUGCAAUCGAUACGGGCAGACUAGAGUUCGGUAGGGGAGACUGGAAUUCCUGGUGUAGCGGUGAAAUGCGCAGAUAUCAGGAGGAACACCGGUGGCGAAGGCGGGUCUCUGGGCCGAAACUGACGCUGAGGAGCGAAAGCGUGGGGAGCGAACAGG